GAUCCUGGCUCAGGAUGAACGCUGGCGGCGUGCUUAACACAUGCAAGUCGAGCGAAGCAAUCUAAGUGAAGUUUUCGGAUGGAUCUUGGAUUGACUGAGCGGCGGACGGGUGAGUAACGCGUGGAUAACCUGCCUCACACAGGGGGAUAACAGUUAGAAAUGACUGCUAAUACCGCAUAAGCGCACGGCAUCGCAUGAUGCAGUGUGAAAAAACUCCGGUGGUGUG
rnacentral:rRNA from 1 species